rnacentral:rRNA from 1 species
UACGAAGGGUGCUAGCGUUGCUCGGAAUUAUUGGGCGUAAAGCGCACGUAGGCGGAUUGUUAAGUCGGGGGUGAAAUCCUGGAGCUCAACUCCAGAACUGCCUUCGAUACUGGCGAUCUCGAGUUCGGGAGAGGUGAGUGGAACUGCGAGUGUAGAGGUGAAAUUCGUAGAUAUUCGCAAGAACACCAGUGGCGAAGGCGGCUCACUGGCCCGAUACUGACGCUGAGGUGCGAAAGCGUGGGGAGCAAACAGG